AUACCGGCGGCUCGAGUGGUGGCCGCUUUUAUUGGGCUUAAAGCGUUCGUAGCUGGGUCGUUAAGUCUCUUGGGAAAUCUGGCAGCUCAACUGUCAGGCGUCUAAGGGAUACUGGCGAUCUUGGAACCGGGAGAGGUGAGGGGUACUUCGGGGGUAGGAGUGAAAUCCUGUAAUCCUCGAGGGACCACCUGUGGCGAAGGCGCCUCACCAGAACGGCUUCGACAGUGAGGGACGAAAGCUGGGGGAGCAAACCGGAUUAGAUACCCGGGUAGUCCCAGCCGUAAACGAUGUGCGUUAGGUGUAUCGACGACCACGUGUCGUCGAGGUGCCGAAGGGAAACCGUGAAACGUACCGCCUGGGAAGUACGGUCGCAAGGCUGAA
rnacentral:rRNA from 2 species